UCUUUGAACCCUAGUUGAACUUCGAACCCUUGGUGUAACAGAAAAAGAGGACAAAUUCCAUUAACUCCAGAUGCUCAGCGUUUUCCUCUUGAAAGGACAACAACAUAUAUGAGUUACAUGAAACCUACAAUGGAUUUAUCAACAAGGAGACUUUGCUGCAUCUGUUGAUUAACAAUUGAUGGUGUAUAUAUUUUUUAUCAGUGAUUUAUGCGAACAAAGCUCUUGUUCAUUUGAUGUUUAUUAUUUAUGUUAGUUCACUAUGCUGAAGUCAAAAUUUUCAUGCUCACAGUGCAAUUAAUUGCCGUUAAUAAUAUGGACUUAACUUUAUAAAUAACUAGGUGGCUGCCACAUAAAUUUAUCAGAAAGUUGACCCCUCACCUCAGCGCCGCAAUGUAUGCAACAAGUUUUUGCAUUCGCACGCCGGUUGAGGCUUGUGAUGCGAUCCCAUAAAUUAAACUGGCUAAAACCGGAGAAAAGGAAGGCAAACGUCACCGAAACAGGAAAAAAGAAGCGCAAGGCCAGAGCAAACUCAGUCCGCAGAAGCCGCAAACAUGCAAACCAAAAAAAAGAGGGGGCAACAUGGGCGUGGGAAAGGGGGAUACCGGUUGCCAGGGGGAGAAUGCAGCACAUACUAAGCACGUGUCAAGAGUGCGGCCCAAGUUUUAAUUUGCCGGAGGCUUCCACUAACAUCCCAUGCCCCGAAUCGCCACUGGAAGAACUGCAAUGCAUUUAUAUAUGUACUUUAUAUUUUUUAACCAUAAUUAUUUCAGUUGCAAAACUACACACAUUACACAGACAUAUAAGAAAUGCAUCUUGUUAACUGAUUCACAAUCUAAAUCUGUUUACAA